rnacentral:tRNA from 1 species
CAGGGAAUAGUUUAUGAAAAUAUUAAUUUUGGGGAUUAAUGAUAAGAUGUAUAAGGUCUUUUCUCUGA